GCUGGGCGUGGUGGCGGGCGCCUGUAGUCCCAGCUACUUGGGAGGCUGAGGCAGAAGAAUCACUUGAAUCCGGGAGGCAGAGGUUGCAGUGAGCCGAGAUUGCGCCACUGCACUCCAGCCUGGGCAAUAGAGUGAGACUCUGUCUCAA
rnacentral:SRP_RNA from 1 species